rnacentral:misc_RNA from 1 species
GAUGAAGAACGCAGCGAAAUGCGAUACGUAAUGUGAUUUGCAGAAUUCAGUGAAUCAUCGAAUCUUUGAACGCAUAUUGCGCUCUCUGGUAUUCCGGAGAGCAUGCUUGUUUGAGUAUCAGUAAACACCUCAACUUCCAUAUCUUUUUUGAAAUGGGAGUUGGACUUGAGUGAUCCCAACGCUUUUCCUCACCGAAAAGUGGCGGGUUACUUGAAAUGCAGGUGCAGCUGGACUUUUCUCUGAGCUAUAAGCAUAUCUAUUUAGUCUGCCUAAAAAACAGAUUAUUACCUUUGCUGCAGCUAACAUAAAGGAGAUUAGUUCUUGUGCUGACUGAUGCAGGAUUCACAAAGACAGGCUUCGGCCGACUUUGUAAACUCGAUCUCAAAUCAAGUAAGACUACCCGCUGAACUUAAGCAUAUCAAUAAGCGGAGGA